UACGUAGGGUGCAAGCGUUGUCCGGAAUUAUUGGGCGUAAAGAGCUCGUAGGCGGUUUGUCGCGUCGGCUGUGAAAUCUCGGGGCUUAACUCCGAGCCUGCAGUCGAUACGGGCAGACUUGAGUUCGGUAGGGGAGACUGGAAUUCCUGGUGUAGCGGUGAAAUGCGCAGAUAUCAGGAGGAACACCGGUGGCGAAGGCGGGUCUCUGGGCCGAAACUGACGCUGAGGAGCGAAAGCGUGGGGAGCGAACAGG
rnacentral:rRNA from 1 species